AGUGAACGCUGGCGGUAGGCCUAACACAUGCCAGUCGAACGGCAGCACAGUAAGAGCUUGCUCUUACGGGUGGCGAGUGGCGGACGGGUGAGGAAUACAUCGGAAUCUACUUUUUCGUGGGGGAUAACGUAGGGAAACUUACGCUAAUACCGCAUACGACCUACGGGUGAAAGCAGGGGAUCUUCGGACCUUGCGCGAUUGAAUGAGCCGAUGUCGGAUUAGCUAGUUGGCGGGGUAAAGGCCCACCAAGGCGACGAUCCGUAGCUGGUCUGAGAGGAUGAUCAGCCACACUGGAACUGAGACACGGUCCAGACUCCUACGGGAGGCAGCAGUGGGGAAUAUUGGACAAUGGGCGCAAGCCUGAUCUAGCCAUACCGCGUGGGUGAAGAAGGCCUUCGGGUUGUAAAGCCCUUCUGUUGGGAAAGAAAAGCAGCAGGUUAAUACCCCGCUGUUCUGACGGUACCCAAAGAAUAAGCACCGGCUAACUUCGUG
rnacentral:rRNA from 1 species